rnacentral:rRNA from 1 species
UACAGAGGUCCCAAGCGUUGUUCGGAUUCACUGGGCGUAAAGGGUGCGUAGGCGGUCGGGUAAGUCUGAUGUGAAAUCUCACAGCUUAACUGUGAAACUGCAUUGGAUACUAUCCGGCUCGAGGAAUGGAGGGGAGACUGGAAUACUUGGUGUAGCAGUGAAAUGCGUAGAUAUCAGGAGGAACACCGGUGGCGAAGGCGGGUCUCUGGGCCGAUACUGACGCUGAGGAGCGAAAGCAUGGGUAGCGAACAGG